CAUGUGCGAGAAAAACGGUCAGGCCCCUCCGCCGAUGCUCCAGAUUGCUCCGGCGACCACGCAUGGCUCCCGACAACCAUCGACCAAUCCUUCUGCGUCUGCCAAUGCUGGAACCCCGACCGGUCCUUCACCUCCGUCUGGCACUGGCGCAGCCCCGACCAUUCCUACACCUCCGUGAUAACGAUUUAAUUCACUAUAUGGGAGCUUGCAUGGAUGAGUGCUUGUUUCCCUUUUUUUUUUUCGUUUGUAUCGAUGAAAAAUGUGGACCUUGUUAUAUGGAUGCAUGGAACAAUGUGUUGGAUGGACAUUGUGAUGUUACUGUAAUAUGUAUGGAUGGAACUCUGUUUCUUAUUAUGUAUGUAUGUUGUCAUGGA